UACGAAGGGUGCAAGCGUUACUCGGAAUUACUGGGCGUAAAGCGUGCGUAGGUGGUUUGUUAAGUCUGAUGUGAAAGCCCUGGGCUCAACCUGGGAACUGCGUUGGAAACUGAAAGACUAGAGUGCGGCAGAGGGGGGUAGAAUUCCACGUGUAGCAGUGAAAUGCGUAGAUAUGUGGAGGAAUACCGAUGGCGAAGGCAGCCCCCUGGGUCGACACUGACGCUCAUGCACGAAAGCGUGGGUAGCAAACAGG
rnacentral:rRNA from 1 species